rnacentral:rRNA from 1 species
GAAUUUUCCGCAAUGGGCGAAAGCCUGACGGAGCAACGCCGCGUGGGUGAUGAAGAUUUUCGGAUCGUAAAGCCCUUUCAGCAGGGACGAAGCGAGUGACGGUACCUGCAGAAGAAGCAUCGGCUAACUACGUGCCAGCAGCCGCGGUAAUACGUAGGAUGCAAGCGUUGUCCGGAAUUAUUGGGCGUAAAGCGAACGUAGGCGGUUACUUAAGUUUGGUCUUAAAGACCGGGGCUCAACUCCGGGAAUGGACUGAAUACUGGGUGACUAGAGGAUGUCAGAGGAAAGUGGAAUUCCAAGUGUAGCGGUGAAAUGCGUAGAUAUUUGGAGGAACACCAGUGGCGAAAGCGGCUUUCUGGGACAUUCCUGACGCUGAGGUUCGAAAGCUCGGGGAGCAAACAGG